rnacentral:rRNA from 1 species
UAUGUGAUCGUCUCUCGCAUAUCAAUAAGCGGAGGAAAAGAAACUAACAAGGAUUCCCCUAGUAACGGCGAGUGAAGCGGGAAGAGCUCAAAUUUGAAAUCUUAAAGGGUUUCCCUUUACGAAUUGUAGUUUAAAGAAGUGUUUUCUGUUGAGGUUUUGGUAAAAGUUCUUUGGGAUAGGACAUCAUAGAGGGUGAGAAUCCCGUAUUUGACCUUUACUUUCAACUUUGUGAUACACUUUCAAAGAGUCGGAUUGUUUGGGAAUGCAGUCCAAAAUGGGUGGUAAAUUUCAUCUAAAGCUAAAUAUUGGCGAGAGACCGAUAGCGAACAAGUACCGUGAGGGAAAGAUGAAAAGAACUUUGAAAAGAGAGUUAAACAGUACGUGAAAUUGUCAAAAGGGAAGCGUUUGACACCAGUGUUGUUUUUCUGAAAAUCAAUUAAAGAACUGUUUAUGCUAAGUUGUUUAGACUUUAUCAGCUAACUGUUUAGUUUUGAGCUUUUCUUUAAUGCACUUUUCAGUUAACAAGUCAACAUCAAUUUCUUUUGCUGUAAAAAAGCUUGAGGAAGGUGGCUUGAGAUUCGUCUUAAGUGUUUAUAGCCUCUUGCCUAUGCAGUCGGAGAGAUUGAGGUCUGCAGCGUAGAUCCUUCGGGGCUAAAUGCAUUUGUGCUAAGUUAUAGCAUUUUAUAGACAACUUGUCGACUAUGAUUUGUCUUGUAGCUUACUCGCUUAUGUUAUUUUACCUACGCUUAGGAUGUUGACUGAUAUGUAGUCGUA